GGGGCCGUGGGGUAGCUUGGUAUCCUCGGCGGAUGGGGUCCGUCGGACUUGAGUUCGAAUCUCAACGGUCCCAC
rnacentral:tRNA from 2 species